AGAGUUUGAUCAUGGCUCAGGAUGAACGCUAGCGGCAGGCUUAAUACAUGCAAGUCGUGGGGCAGCACAGUGUAGCAAUACAUGGGUGGCGACCGGCAAACGGGUGCGGAACACGUACGCAACCUUCCUUUAACUGGAGAAUAGCCCGGGGAAACCCGGAUUAAUACUCCGUAACAUUAUGAAGUGGCAUCACUUUAUAAUUAUAGCUCCGGCGGUUGAAGAUGGGCGUGCGUCUGAUUAGGUAGUUGGCGGGGUAACGGCCCACCAAGCCUACGAUCAGUAACUGGUGUGAGAGCACGACCAGUCACACGGGCACUGAGACACGGGCCCGACUCCUACGGGAGGCAGCAGUAAGGAAUAUUGGUCAAUGGACGCAAGUCUGAACCAGCCAUGCCGCGUGGAGGAUGAAGGUCCUCUGGAUUGUAAACUUCUUUUAUUUGGGAAGAAACCCCCGAUUUCUAUUGGGGUUGACGGUACCAGAUGAAUAAGCACCGGCUAACUCCGUGCCAGCAGCCGCGGUAAUACGGAGGGUGCAAGCGUUAUCCGGAUUCACUGGGUUUAAAGGGUGCGUAGGCGGGUUGGUAAGUCCGUGGUGAAAUCUCCAAGCUUAACUUGGAAACUGCCGUGGAUACUAUCAAUCUUGAAUAUCGUGGAGGUGAGCGGAAUAUGUCAUGUAGCGGUGAAAUGCUUAGAUAUGACAUAGAACACCCAUUGCGAAGGCAGCUCGCUACACGGUUAUUGACGCUGAGGCACGAAAGCGUGGGGAUCAAACAGGAUUAGAUACCCUCGUAGUCC
rnacentral:rRNA from 1 species